CCUACGGGAGGCAGCAGUAGGGAAUAUUGCUCAAUGGGGGAAACCCUGAAGCAGCAACGCCGCGUGGAGGAUGAAGGUUUUCGGAUUGUAAACUCCUUUUGUUAGAGAAGAUAAUGACGGUAUCUAACGAAUAAGCACCGGCGAACGCCGUGCCAGCGGCCGCGGUAAUACGGAGGGUGCAAGCGUUACUCGGAAUCACUGGGCGUAAAGAGCGCGUAGGCGGGAGAGCAAGUCAGAUGUGAAAUCCUAGGGCUUAACCAUAGAACUGCAUUUGAAACUGUUAUUCUAGAGUAUGGGAGAGGUAGGUGGAAUUCUUGGUGUAGGGGUAAAAUCCGUAGAGAUCAAGAGGAAUACUCAUUGCGAAGGCGACCUGCUAGAACAUAACUGACGCUGCUGCGCGAACGCGUGGGGAGCAAACAGGAUUAGAUACCCGAGUAGUC
rnacentral:rRNA from 1 species